GGGUACCUGGCGCAAUGGCUAGCGCAUCUGGCUUCGAUUGCUCGAUGUUUCUGUCACCAGAAGGCUGUAGGUUCGAGUCCUGCGGUGCUCA